UACGAAGGGUGCAAGCGUUACUCGGAAUUACUGGGCGUAAAGCGUGCGUAGGUGGUUUUUUAAGUCCGUUGUGAAAGCCCUGGGCUCAACCUGGGAAUGGCAGUGGAUACUGGAAAGCUAGAGUGCGGUAGAGGGUAGUGGAGUUCCCGGUGUAGCAGUGAAAUGCGUAGAGAUCGAGAGGAACACCAGUGGCGAAGGCGGCUACCUGGACCAGCACUGACACUGAGGCACGAAAGCGUGGGGAGCAAACAGG
rnacentral:rRNA from 1 species